UACAAUGUAUUGAUUCUUCGUCUUAUUUGAAUUUCUUUUGCGAUUAAUAUUUUUGUUGUUGCUAGAUAAUAAAAUAUAAAUAGUACUUUAUGCGUGACUAAUUUUUUUUAAAAAUUUGUACAAAUUUUUUAAAUAAGACGAAUGGUUAAACAUUAGAAACAGAAAUC
rnacentral:pre_miRNA from 1 species